rnacentral:rRNA from 1 species
GAUGAACGCUGGCGGCGUGCCUAAUACAUGCAAGUCGAGCGAACAGACGAGGAGCUUGCUCCUCUGAUGUUAGCGGCGGACGGGUGAGUAACACAUGGAUAACCUACCUAUAAGACUGGGAUAACUUCGGGAAACCGGAGCUAAUACCGGAUAACAUGUUGAACCGCAUGGUUCAACAGUGAAAGACGGUCUUGCUGUCACUUAUAGAUGGAUCCGCGCCGCAUUAGCUAGUUGGUAAGGUAACGGCUUACCAAGGCAACGAUGCGUAGCCGACCUGAGAGGGUGAUCGGCCACACUGGAACUGAGACACGGUCCAGACUCCUACGGGAGGCAGCAGUAGGGAAUCUUCCGCAAUGGGCGAAAGCCUGACGGAGCAACGCCGCGUGAGUGAAGAAGGUCUUCGGAUCGUAAAACUCUGUUAUUAGGGAAGAACAAAUGUGUAAGUAACUAUGCACGUCUUGACGGUACCUAAUCAGAAAGCCACGCCUAACUACGUG